CCAAAACUUACCGUUGCUCUACUGGAACUUCUAUUUAUCACGGACCUCGUUGGUCGCCCAGAGCUUCUUACUGUGGAUCUAGGAUGCUCAUCUGUUUCGCAGGGAAGAGCCUUCCCCACCACCUGAUGCUGGUGAAAUCUGAAAGUCACCAUUUCUCCGAGAGAAGAGGAAACGAUUCUGAUCGGGCAUUAAGGGAAGGAACCUUUGGUUAUCUCCUGGAAACGAUUCUGAUCGGGCGAGAGUGCAGCAGAGUGGGGCGACACUUCUUCUACAAAAAAACUGAAGAGCUUUGGGACGAAGAAGUGGAACCCCGUCGCGCUUAAGCCAGGGGGGAUUUCAAUCUGGUGUUUGAAUGUGGCUGAUAUCGUUGCGGAAUUGUGCAAUUGGUUAGGAAACACAUCAUGAUCUCUGCAUCCAGCGUCAGGCGAAACAGGCAAGCGCAAUGACCGAGGAGUGUAUCGUGGCUUGAGGUAUGUAUGAAUGUGUCGAUGCCUAUUUCUUUGAUUUCUAUGACCAUAGAUCAUUAGGAGAAAACCGCAAAAACAAAAAGAACAACACAUGCACACAGGGCGACAUUCAAUGAGUUUGAUGAUUAACUGGGCUAAAAAUCUUUUCAAAAUUUUAAUCCAUAAUGUUAAAGAAAAUUUCUGGAUGGUGGUCAAAAGUUCUGUUUGAACUCUCUGAGUUUUGAUAGUCCAGGCUCUGAAAAAAUAAUUCAUGAAUAAAAUGGUGAACAUUGGAUCAUGCUGGCUUUUGCCGUAAGCCCUCUUAUGUAGGAGCCAUCAAUUUAUGGGUCCUGAUAUUUUAUUAUCUGCUAUAUGGUAAAUAAUCAAGGUUUCAGCCAACAACUUUGGUCCCCCUGUCUCCUUAUACGAGCCAAUCUCUUCAUUCUAGUCUUCUUUAAUGGAAAACAAAGAUGGUGUGUCUAAAGGAGAUAAGCUUCUUUUAGGCUCCUGUUAUUGCAAUGCGCCUCUCCACCUGCCAAUUAUCUUCCUGAUUAGGGUUCCAUGCAUUAUUGCCUCCUUGGAUUUAUUGGCUUUUGUAGAAAUUGGUACCAUGAGAUUCUUAUAGUUGGUAUAUAAUUCAUUUAGGAAAGGUUUCCCCUAAGUCAAUCCUUUACCCCUUUUGGUGUUUGAUCAUAAUCUACAUUGUAGCAAGCUAAGUGGGUUAAGCUAGAUCUAUUGUGCUUUUGUUGGUGGGGCUGUCUUCCUAGGGAAUUAGGCAUUGGUCUUAGGAUUGUUAACUUUUCAAUUGCUUGACCAUCAUCAACCUGGCUCUUUUAGAAGAAAUGGAUGAAAAAGAAAACAAAAUUGAUGCAACUUACGAGUCAUGGCUUAGAAUAUUAUGGUUGAUUUUAUCUUUCCACAGUUCCAUACAUGCUAAGGAGAGGGAUGAUAUUCAGACCUCGCACUAAUAUCAGAAAUAUAUAAUAGAAAUAUAGGAGAAAGAGAGAUAGUUGAUUCCUAACUCCUAAGUUUUAUUCAAAACUAAUUCUCAAACUUUUUUUGGUGUCUCGGCUGCUUACCAUGAAGACUCUAACAAAAACAAAGACAAUCCCUUUUAUGUGGUGGUAAAAGAAGCUUGCCUUGGAGUUUUAAAGAACAUGAGGAUCAAAGGAUGAUUUUUUUUUUCUAAUACUAAACAAACCACAGUCAAUGGAAUUCCUAAAAUUGUUUUUUGAAGAUAAAUAAAAAAUAAAACAAGGUAUAAAAAAUACCUGAAGAAACAGAAAAAACCAACCCAAAGUUGACGCAAAUUAAACCCUAGCCUUCCUGAGAUAAAAGAGGUAAAAACACCCACCCAAGUGUGUUUAUAAUUAUAAAAUAGAUAAACUAAAAUAUUCAUUUUGUGUGUUUAAUAUAUUCAACACGAGCAUUGCGAAAUGCUGUGAACCCUCAAAGACUUCAAAACCUGAACCAAUAAGCAAGUGUUGUCUAAUCAACACAUUUUUUUCU